UACGUAGGGGGCAAGCGUUAUCCGGAUUUACUGGGUGUAAAGGGAGCGUAGACGGCCAAGCAAGUCUGAAGUGAAAGCCCGUGGCUCAACCGCGGAACUGCUUUGGAAACUGCCUGGCUAGAGUACUGGAGAGGCAAGCGGAAUUCCUAGUGUAGCGGUGAAAUGCGUAGAUAUUAGGAGGAACACCAGUGGCGAAGGCGGCUUGCUGGACAGAAACUGACGUUGAGGCUCGAAAGCGUGGGGAGCAA
rnacentral:rRNA from 1 species